rnacentral:misc_RNA from 1 species
UCUCCGUUGGUGAACCAGCGGGGGGAUCAUUACUGGAAUCGCAAGAUCCCACAACCCUGUGAACCUACCGAAACGUUGCCUCGGCGGGUGCCCGGCCUCUGCGCCGGGCGCUGCGCCCGCCGGCGGCCCCCUACUCUGUCUCUGCAGCGUGGCAUCUCAGAGUCCCAGAAAACAAGUCAAAACUUUCAACAACGGAUCUCUUGGCUCUA